AUAUUUGUGAUUCAAACGUACCUGAACUAUUCAUCAAAUUUUUUAUUUUACUAUCUAUUCUUUUAAUUUAUUUAAUUUGAGCCGGUCAAUAUUACUUUGACUUAAAAAUUUAAAUACAUCGUUUAUCUUUAUAUAUUAGUUACUAUCUUUCAUACAAUUCUCAUAAAUAUAAAUUUACUAGAGUAACUAAUUAGCUUAAGUUUUAAAAUUAAAAUACUGUUGACAGAUUCAAAUGAAAUAAAUUGAAAAUUUUGAUAGUAAAUUAAAAUUUUGAAAAUUUGAAUAGUUUAGAAUAGUUCUUUAUGUUUUUUAAUUAAUUUAAGCAGGUUUUUUCAGCUUCUGCUUUUGGAGGUUGAAGAAUCAGUUUUCAGCUUUUAGGAAGCAGAAUCAGAUUUCUAAAUAUCUUUACCAAACACUCUAGCUUGGCCUAAAAGUGAUUUUCAGCUGAAAAUCACUUUGCAAAAGCUUAGCCAAACAGGGCCGGGCCUGUUUGGCCUAGCUUCUGAAAAAGUGAUUUCUAAAAAAGUGAUUUUGGUUUAGAAAAGUGAUUUCUGUUAAAAGCUGUAGAGCGUUUGGCUGAGUCUGAUAGAAAAGUGAUUGUGCUGAAGUGAUUUUAGAAAGCUGUUUGGCAAAUCUUUUUUGCUGAAGUGAUUUUGUAAUGCUAUUUAACAUUAGUUAUUUUUAAAACACACUAAUAUCACAUGCCAAUAUUUCAAGUUAUAAAUAACUAUUUAAUAUAACAAAAGUGUAUAAUGAUAAAUAUUCAUUAGGAUACAAUUUAUCUAAAUGUACUCAUCAAUGAUACAGCAAUACGAUCGCGAGUUUGGGUCAUGAUGUAAUCAUCUGUUAUUCCACUAUAAGUCUGUGUCGAACUACUUGUACUGUUUUCAUUUUCUUCAAUGUUGGGCAUAUAAUUUAUGUCUUGAUCACAUUUGUUGAACUCUUCAUCUUGCGUUGAACUCAUCCUAAUAAAAUUGUGAAGUGCCAUAGUUGCAGAUACUAUUUUUGAUUAACUUGGUACUGGAUAACCUUGCAUCAUUUGUAAUAUACGCCACCGUGCUUUAAGUACACCAAAUGAUCGUUCAAUAACAUUCCUCAAGGAUGAAUGUGCAUGAUUAAACACUUCUUUAUAACCUCGUGGUUGAGACCCACGUCUAAAUUCAGGAAUAUGAUAUCUCACAUCUCCGCCAGUAUAAGGUCCUAGAUAUCCUUUUAUAUUAGGAUACCCUGCGUCUACAAGAUAAUACUUACCUACACAUAGACAGAAAAUAAUGAAAACUAUUAGAUAAUUGCAAUAUAAAGUAUAAAUAUAACUUACUAUUUAAAAAAUAAAAAACUAAACUAACCUUCAGGAGGAUGUGGAAAUAUAUGACCAUAGUUAUUCAAAGUAGUAGUAAAAAUUUGUGCAUCAUGCGUGGCUCCCGGCCAACCGGCAACAACAAAUGUGAACACCAUAUUGAAAUCACAAACAACCAUUAUAUUUUGCAUUGGGUAAGGCUUUCUACCAAUAUAUGGAAUUUGAUCUUCUUUAGGUAUAACAGCACGAAUAAGUGUUCCAUCAAUUGCACCAAUAGCUCCUUCAAAAUGAGGCCAGAACCUAACAUUGUUGCGAAUUUGAGGAGGGAUUGUAGUAAAUGAAGGAUCCAACGGUUUAAUUAUGUCAACAGAAAAUCGAACUAAACUAUCAAGAACUUCAUUAAAUUUUCUACUAAUUGUUUCACCCGAAUGCUUGAAACGGUUUUGAAUAUUACGAUUUGUUAGAACCACAUUUUGCCAUCCAAGUCUAUUCAAAUGAGUAUUAGGUCGGUUCCCGGCAUUGACCUCUUUAACACAUAUUUCGCAAAAAAUUUUAAGCAACGUUGCAUCCCACGUAGCUUUAAUUUUUUUUUCUUUUUGGGUAGAUGGUUCUCCUUGUGAUGAAUUCAUCUUUCAGAUUUCUAGUAAACAAAUAUGUAUUAAAAGAUAAAUAUAUAUAAAAAGUCACUAAAUAAUUGAUACAUUCAUACUAUAAAUUUCACAAAAUAAUCGCUAGAAAACAAAUUCCUAAAUGCAUGCAUUCAUUUCCCUUCCAACACAUAUUGUACUCAAAAGUUGAUCAUAUUAGGAUGACCUUCUAAACUGCCAUGUAUCUGAAUAAAACUAAAUCCAAACAAUAUGUAAUUUGCCUUUCUCAUAAAACUGAGGAACUGAAGGACUUACCUGCUAUGAUAAUACUUUCUAGCCAGGCAAGUACCAAAACGAUAAAAUUUUUUGGAUGUCACCAACAAGAUGAAUUAGAUAACAUGUUGAUGAGUAUAAAUUUUGUUGUUAUUAAUGUUCUCUUCUAUUGUGUCUUGACUUUGAGAUCCAAGCUCAAAACAAAAAAACACACAUCAACUUAAUAUGGCUUACUAAAAUAAAAAACCAAGCUUAGAUAUUCAACAACAGAAAAGCUAGCUGCCUGCUAGUACCAAAAAAACUUUCAUGCCAGAAAAUUGAUUUCAAGUUUUCAUGCUAUCAUAUUACAAAUGCUCUUCGGAUUUCUGGCAGUAUGUUUCUUGAGUGUUGUAUUAAAAUGUAUAAUCAAAACCACAAGAUACAAGUAACUAAAUUUUAUAAAUGGAGCUACAGUCAAGUAAGAAAUAAGAUUAUAAAGCAAACUUCUCUCCGAACGGAACCGAUGAUGAACUUACCGCAGCAAAAAGAAAUAUGCAUCAGAUAGGGUAUUGGCAGUGAAAAAGAAAUGGAAUUAAUGCUUCAAAUUGAACAAGAAGUGUGCAAAAAAAAAAGCAGAUUCUACAAAUGAAAAAAAAAUAUAGCAUAUGAGAUGGGCCUCCUCUUCGACCACAACCACUCAAUUUCCAUCUUGAUUUUGCUAAGUUCAUCAUCAUGAUGCAGUCCCGAUGCAGAUCCGACCAAGCCGGCGGGAUCCGUCUUUGUCGGAUCCCGCGGGCGCUGACCCGAGCUCGGAUCCAGGUCAAAGGUGGAUCCGGGGCCGGAUCCGGCAAAACCGGACCCCGUCGGCGCCGAUCCGGCCAAGUCGGCGGGAUCCAUCUUUGUCGGAUCCUGCCGGCGUGAUCCACGCCCAGAUCUGGCUCAAAGGCGGAUCCGAGGCUGGAUCCGGCAAAGCCGGAGCUCGCCGGCGCGGAUCCGGCCAAGGCGGCAGGAUCCGUCUUUGCCGGAUCACGCCAGCGCGGAUCUAGGGUCGGGCGCGGAUUAGGGAGAGAAAUCAAGAGAGGGAGAGAGAUAAUCUGUAUGAAAAAGAAAAACACUCUCCUUGGGAAAAAAAAAAGAGAGUACCUUGGAGGUUCGCCGGAGAAAAACUCGCCGGAGAAGAAACUUGCCGGUGGAAAACGCGUCGCCGGAGAGGAAAAAAGGAGAGAGAUGAAGAAGAGAGGGAAGGAGAGGGGAGUGAUUAUUUUUUUUUUUGGGAGUAGGAGUGGGAGUUGGCUGUGAGAGUAAUAGGAGAGUAAUAAGAGAUAUAUUAUUAAUUAUAAAAGGAUAUGAUAGAAUUGUAAUGUUUGUUUAAGGGUAAUUUCGGUAUUUUAGUAAAAAAAUACCGUUCUGAAACAGCUUGUGCGGGAAUCUGUUUUGGAAAAGCAGGUUUUUUCAGCUUCUGCUUUUGGAGGUUGAAGAAUCAGUUUUCAGCUUUUAGGAAGCAGAAUCAGAUUUCUAAAUAUCUUUACCAAACACUCUAGCUUGGCCUAAAAGUGAUUUUCAGCUGAAAAUCACUUUGCAAAAGCUUAGCCAAACA
rnacentral:lncRNA from 1 species